UGAUUAUUAAAAUGUAUACAAUAAUUGACUUCUUAGCAUCCACUUCUAUAAUCACCAUAGAAACAUUUUUUCCACAAUAAAUUAAAGAGAUAAUCAAAAGUUCACUUUCACUUAUAGUGAGUGACCUACCUAUCUCAUCAUACUCUAAACCAAGCAUAUGCACACUUCUAGAUCAUGUAUAUCUUCAUAUAAUUUAUGUUGCAUUAUUAAUAAACGAAACAUAUUAUAUGAAAAACCUCUGAAAAUAAAAUCCAAGCUAGUAUGAAAAAUG